GAUGAACGCUGGCGGCGUGCCUAAUACAUGCAAGUCGAGCGAACGGACGAGAAGCUUGCUUCUCUGAUGUUAGCGGCGGACGGGUGAGUAACACGUGGAUAACCUACCUAUAAGACUGGGAUAACUUCGGGAAACCGGAGCUAAUACCGGAUAAUAUUUUAAACCGCAUGGUUCAAAAGUGAAAGACGGUCUUGCUGUCACUUAUAGAUGGAUCCGCGCUGCAUUAGCUAGUUGGUAAGGUAACGGCUUACCAAGGCAACGAUGCAUAGCCGACCUGAGAGGGUGAUCGGCCACACUGGAACUGAGACACGGUCCAGACUCCUACGGGAGGCAGCAGUAGGGAAUCUUCCGCAAUGGGCGAAAGCCUGACGGAGCAACGCCGCGUGAGUGAUGAAGGUCUUCGGAUCGUAAAACUCUGUUAUUAGGGAAGAACAUAUGUGUAAGUAACUGUGCACAUCUUGACGGUACCUAAUCAGAAAGCCACGGCUAACUACGUG
rnacentral:rRNA from 1 species